UAGCAGUCGAUGGAUUUGAAUUGUCAGUUGCCAUGUUUUGCUUGACUGGAAUUCAUCCGCCGUCGUUCAGGCAAGGAGUAGACCAGCCGUUCCUACAAGCCAUUAAUGGAGUGGAGCGGAGGUGUGAUGGUGGAGCUGUUGUGUUUCUGGGUGCCUACCUCUGUAGCUUGCAUGCAAGUGUUUUUACGGAUUAAUUUAGCUGGCCUCUCAAUUCUCAAUCUCUGUAGUUUAAUGUUAAUGGCUCUGUUCUUCCUAUUUCGUCAGUUUACGAAAGAUCGAAAGAGAUUUAAAAUUGGGGAAUAAUACAUUUCGGCAUGUGUGAUUCUUUUAAGGAAGGCAGUGGUGUAAUUAUGCAACUUUGAUUAAUGUUUUCUGUCACACUCAGAUAUGAUUCAAAUUGUAAUUUGUUUUGAUGCGCUUCUUUCCACUCGGAAACACUACGAUAAUUAUAUGGGCUACAGUGAUCAAUGACAAAAUCAUCUUCUGAGAUCUGCAGCACAUUAGGAAGGCACGCAACGUAUGGAUCCACGGGCAGAGAAGGCUGAAAUAUUAUUGAUGCUCAACCUGUAUCUCGACUUCUCAUUUCCGAACAUUAGAAAUGCCGAGCAGUCCAUGGAAGCUUGCCUAUGCCGCUUCUGUGUGACAUUAUAUCUUUGGACCUUUUUGCUUCUGCGCCUCUGGACAUGAACUUCGUG